GAUGAAGAACGCAGCGAAAUGCGAUAAGUAAUGUGAAUUGCAGAAUUCAGUGAAUCAUCGAAUCUUUGAACGCACAUUGCGCCCGCCAGUAUUCUGGCGGGCAUGCCUGUUCGAGCGUCAUUUCAACCAUCAAGCCCCGGGCUUGUGUUGGGGACCUGCGGCUGCCGCAGGCCCUGAAAAGCAGCGGCGGGCUCGCUGUCACACCGAGCGUAGUAGCAUACAUCUCGCUCUGGGCGUGCUGCGGGUUCCGGCCGUUAAACCACCUUUUAACCCAAGGUUGACCUCGGAUCAGGUAGGAAGACCCGCUGAACUUAAGCAUAUCAAUAAGCGGAGGA
rnacentral:misc_RNA from 1 species